CAUAAACAUCCCUCUUCAGAAUAAGUUCCCUCCUGCCAGCUUGGUUACACCCAGAUUCCAGCUCUUCUCUGGUGACUGUUCUGUGGGCCCCUGAGAGAGUAAUGAAAGCCUGGGAAAUACAGGCCAACCCUAGGCCAUCCUGGCAAGAACAGGAAAGAAGUUUGAAACCAUGGCUUCCCUCCCUGGCAUCAGGAGAGGAGCACUGAAAAGGAAACUCUCAUCACCGUGGUCUGAAGGUGUAUUAACCCUCCAUCGACCUGACAAAACUAUUCGAGAAGAGGAACAGAUUCUUUGGGAUCAUGGUUUCCUGAGGUUCAUUGUGUGACCACCUAUCCUGCCUGCAUUUUGGCCUGUGUCUGAGGUCACACAUCAUGGCAGAA
rnacentral:lncRNA from 1 species